AGAGCACAGGGUGGAUGCCUUGGCACUAAGAGCCGAUGAAAGACGUGAUAAGCUGCGAUAAGCUCCGGGGAGGGGCAAAUACCCACCGAUCCGGGGAUUUCUGAAUGGGGAAACCUAUUGGGGCACACCCCCAAUGUCCAUGCGCCAAUCCAUAACGCAUGGAAGGGAACCCGGCGAACUGAAACAUCUAAGUAGCCGGAGGAAAGGAAAGAAAAAUCGAUCCCGGGAGUAGCGGCGAGCGAAACCGGGGGAGCCCAAACCGGCGUGCGUGCACGCCGGGGUUACGGACUGCCACAAAUGUGAGCUGACUUGCUACCAGAAAGGCCUGGGAAGGCCUGCCAUAGAGGGUGAGGGCCCCGUAUGGGAAAGCAAUAGGCAGCAGGCAGGAUCCAGAGUACCGCGAGACACGUGGAACCUUGCGGGAAGUCGGGGGGACCACCCCCCAAGGCUAAACACUCCUUAGUGACCGAUAGCGCAUAGUACUGUGAAGGAAAGGUGAAAAGGACCCCGGGAGGGGAGUGAAAGAGAACCUGAAACCCUGUGUUUACAAGCUGUGGGAGCACGUCAAAGGUGCGACCGCGUACUUUUUGUAGAACGGUCCGGCGAGCUGCCGGUGCUGGCGAGGUUAAGCGGCACAGCCGCGGAGCCGCAGCGAAAGCGAGCCUUAAUAGGGCGCAUGAGUCAGCACGGGCAGGCCCGAACCGGGUGACCUACCCAUGCCCAGGCUGAAGCGGGAGUAAAAUCCCGUGGAGGGCCGGACGCACAUCCGUUGAAAAGGGUGGCGAUGAGGUGUGGGUAGCGGAGAAAUUCCAAUCGAACCCGGAGAUAGCUGGUUCUCCCCGAAAUAGCUUUAGGGCUAGCCCCGGCCAAGAGUUUCAUGGAGGUAGAGCACUGAAUUCCUAAGGGGGCGUCAAAGCUUACCGCGGGAUAUCAAACUCCGAAUGCCAUGGAAACGUUUGCCGGGAGUCAGGCAGCACGAGAUAAGUUGGGCUGCCGAGAGGGAAAAAAGCCCAGACCCACGGCUAAGGCCCCAAAGUGCGUGUUAAGUGGAUAAGGAUGUGGGACUUCACAGACAGCUAGGAUGUUGGCUCAGAAGCAGCCACACAUUCAAAGAGUGCGUAAUAGCUCACUAGCCGAGAGGUCCUGCGCCGAAAAUGUCCGGGGCUGAAACACGCCGCCGAAGCCUGGGAACAAAUAUUGUUGGUAGGGGAGCAUCCCUGCAUGGGCGAAGCAGCACCGCAAGGGGCUGUGGACAGGCAGGGAGGGAGAAUGCCGGAAUGAGUAGCGAGAUGGGGGUGGGAAUCCCCCAGGCCGGAUAUCCGAGGGUUCCAGGGUAAAGCUGAUCUGCCCUGGGUAAGUCGGGGCCUAAGGCGAGGCCGGAGGGCGUAGCCGAUGGACAGCAGGUGGAGAUUCCUGCACUGCAUGGCAUCAGAACUGUGGGGACGCAGAAGGAUAGCACAUCCCGGGAAUGGGAAUACCGGGGCAAGCAGAGGAGGCGCCGGGGAGGAAAAUCCCCCCGGCAGGCCAAAGCUGUGAGGCGUACCGAACGUGAGUAGGGAAGUGUGCGGUUCCGGCUGCCAAGAAAAGCCGCUAUCGCGUGCCAUGCACCCGUACCGCAAACCGACACAGGUGGAUGGGGAGAGAAUCCCAAGGCCGGCGGGAGAAGCAUUGUCAAGGAACUCGGCAAAAUGGCCCUGUAACUUCGGGAGAAAGGGCGCCAGGCAAGGCCUGGCCGCAGAGAAUAGGCUCAAGCAACUGUUUAGCAAAAACACAGGUCUAUGCAAAACCGCAAGGUGAGGUAUAUGGGCUGACGCCUGCCCGGUGCUGGAAGGUUAAGAGGAGGGGUUAGGGAGACCGAAGCCCUGAAUUGAAGCCCCAGUAAACGGCGGCCGUAACUAUAACGGUCCUAAGGUAGCGAAAUUCCUUGUCGGGUAAGUUCCGACCCGCACGAAAGGCGUAAUGAUUUGAGCGCUGUCUCGACAAUGCACCCGGUGAAAUUGAAGUGCCAGUGAAGAUGCUGGCUACCCGCGCCAGGACGGAAAGACCCCAUGGAGCUUCACUCCAGCUUGGCACUGGGGUCCGGCAUUGCAUGUACAGGAUAGGUGGGAGGCGAAGAGGCAGCGGCGCCAGCCGCUGCGGAGCCGCCGUUGGGAUACCACCCUUGCGGUGCUGGGCUUCUAACCCGCGGCCAUUACCUGGCCGGGGGACAAUGCCAGGCGGGGAGUUUGACUGGGGCGGUCGCCUCCGAAAGGGUAUCGGAGGCGCCCAAGGGUCCCCUCAGGAUGGUCGGGAACCAUCCAUAGAGCGCAAAGGCAUAAGGGGGCUUGACUGCGACACCGACGGGUGGGGCAGGUACGAAAGUAGGGCUUAGUGAUCCGGUGGCAUGAAAGUGGGAUUGCCAUCGCUCAACGGAUAAAAGCUACCCUGGGGAUAACAGGCUUAUCACUCCCAAGAGUUCACAUCGACGGAGUGGUUUGGCACCUCGAUGUCGGCUCAUCGCAUCCUGGGGCUGUAGCAGGUCCCAAGGGUUGGGCUGUUCGCCCAUUAAAGCGGUACGCGAGCUGGGUUCAGAACGUCGUGAGACAGUUCGGUCCCUAUCCGGCGCGGGCGUAGGAUAUCUGAGAGGGGCUGUCCCUAGUACGAGAGGACCGGGAUGGACUGGCCGCUGGUGCACCGGUUAGGGUUUCCAACCCUAUGGCCGGGCAGCCAAGCCGGGAAGGGAUAAACGCUGAAGGCAUCUAAGCGUGAAGCCCCCUCAAGAUGAGAUGUCCCAUCGAAAGAGUAAGGCCCCUUGC
rnacentral:rRNA from 1 species